UAUAGAAAUAUCUUCAUCUUGAAGACUUUUAAGUAGUUCUACAUAAAUAACAGAUUAUAUUUUAUAAGCUUUUAUAAAUUUCGUCAGUGGACAGCUUCUCUAACUCAAGACGUCACUACUAAUAUGUAUUUUGAUCUUUUCAUGACUUAUGCUUAUUCUACUGUAUAGAUUGUGUAACUUUAAUUUAAAAAGGACGGACAUACUUCGCACUUGUAUGUAGCCACUUUUGUAGAUG